rnacentral:misc_RNA from 1 species
UUUCCGUAGGUGAAGCUGCGGAAGGAUCAUUAAUGUGUUUGGGCCUCACGGCUCUUCAUUCCGACGCUGUGCGCCUUCGGGCUGCACGCUGAGGGAGCAUAUAUCCACCCCUGUGCACACACACGGUGGCGAGCUGGGUAACGGCUCGCCGCUGAUCUUUACACACGUCUAAAAGUCAUUGUAUGUUUAUUUGAGAUAAAAACACAACUUUCAGCAACGGAUCUCUUGGCUCUC